AUUCUGGUUUUGAUGCCUUUGGAGAAUAGAGUCUAGGCCAACUUGGAAGUGAGGAAUGGCUGAACACCCUAGGCCAGAUCUUUAUCUGAAUUGUAAAGACAAUGUUUCCUGACCAGCUGGAGGC
rnacentral:lncRNA from 1 species